ACCGUUGUUGUAAAACAAUGCUGAACAUGCAGAAGUCAGCAGAGGCCAUAGUAGCUGAAUUUAAGCGAAGGGC
rnacentral:ncRNA from 1 species